rnacentral:rRNA from 1 species
AUAUCAAUAAGCGGAGGAAAAGAAACCAACAGGGAUUGCCUCAGUAACGGCGAGUGAAGCGGCAAGAGCUCAAAUUUGAAAUCUGGCCCCUCCGGGGUCCGAGUUGUAAUUUGCAGAGGAUGCUUCGGAUACGGCCCCCGUCUAAGUGCCCUGGAACGGGCCGUCGGAGAGGGUGAGAAUCCCGUCUGGGACGGGGUGUCCGUGUCCGUGUGAAGCUCCUUCGACGAGUCGAGUUGUUUGGGAAUGCAGCUCUAAAUGGGUGGUAAAUUUCAUCUAAAGCUAAAUAUUGGCCGGAGACCGAUAGCGCACAAGUAGAGUGAUCGAAAGAUGAAAAGCACUUUGAAAAGAGAGUUAAACAGCACGUGAAAUUGUUGAAAGGGAAGCGCUUGCGACCAGACUCGCCGGCGGGGUUCAGCCGGGAUUCGUCCCGGUGUACUUCCCCGCCGGCGGGCCAGCGUCGGUUUGGGCGGCCGGUCAAAGGCCUCCGGAAUGUAUCGCCCCCCGGGGCGUCUUAUAGCCGGAGGUGCAAUGCGGCCUGCCCGGACCGAGGAACGCGCUUCGGCACGGACGCUGGCAUAAUGGUCGUAAGCGACCCGUCUUGAAACACGGACC